rnacentral:lncRNA from 1 species
CUUGACUUCCUCAGACUGCUUCCUUCUUAUAAACUCUUGGUUCCUUAUUUAUCAUUUUUCGUUUUUGUUUUUUAAGUUGUUUGACCUGAUUUUAUCAUAGUAGUUCCAAAUGCCUUACAGCCCAGUGGAGUCAAGCUAAGGAAAGACAGCAUGAUUUCCACAGGAUUUGUAUUUCUUCCCUCUGGAUAAAGUGAUAGUAGUUCCCAGACUCGCUGCCGGCAGGAUCCAAGGUCGUCUUUCCUCCGGGAUUUAAUCUGGUGUCAUCAGGAACCUAGACUCAGGUUUUAUUGGAGAGCAAGGCUCAAUAAGAAGUGUCCUUUGAGGAGAAUCAAGGACUCAAUCUAGGCAUAAAAGGUGUUGCUCAGCACAAUACCCUCUACGUUCUAUCCAAAGUCAUCUUGCAUCAACUCAAAAGGAGAGAUUCUGUGAGGGUAACCUACAGGGAAAUUUCCCAGCUUUGUGUGAAGAAUCCAGUGGUUGAGUGUCUAUCUGCAUCCUGAGGAACCAUGUCCUCUUUAUAUACCCGAAGUAAAGAAUUCACUCGGAAUAGGAAAUCUCAGUCUGAUUCUCCCCCAGCAUCUCCCUCCCCGACUGCCAAGACGCUCCGACAUGAAAGACUUUCUAGGUUGGAAUCGGGAGGUAGUAAUCCUACAACCAGUGAUUCUUACGGUGACCGGGCUUCAGCAAGAGCCCGUCGGGAGGCCCGGGAGGCCCGCCUAGCCACCCUGACCAGCCGUGUAGAAGAAGACAGCAACAGAGAUUAUAAAAAACUCUAUGAGAGUGCUCUGACUGAAAACC